AUCUGAGAACGCUGUCUGGGCUUGGUGCCAAGCGCUGGUAUUUCACAGCAGCGACCGCCUCACAGACGAGCUGUGGGAAGCAGGAGGGAGACUCUCUCUUAGGGUGGAGACACAGCUGGGCUGAACAAGAUUUGCUUCAAACGACAACAAGAGAGACAGAAAGUAUCUGGUUCAACCGCUGCCCAAGCAGGCAGGCACCAGAAGAGCUAGCAGCCAAUCCGGCCAUGCUCGAAGCCAGCUCUGCAGCUCAGCCAAUCAGUGACAUCACUGCAGUUUUAUUUGGAAUGCCCCUGGUGAUAUAAAGAUGGGAAAGAACAAUACCCACCCAGUGCUUCCCUUGAAGAAAUUCCAAUAUUCUGGAAAUCAGAUAUAAUUAAGGAUUCUGAGAUGAGGAGAUUAUCUUGGAUUUUCAAAGUAGGCCCUAAAUGCCACCACAGGCAUUAGUGUAAGAGAGGCAAAGGAAGGAGAUUUGAUACACAUAGAGGAGAAGGCGAUACAAAGAUGGAGGCUGAGAUAAGAGUGAUGUGGCUUCAAGCCAGAAAAUGCUGGAAAAUACAGGAGCCACCAGAAACUAGAAGAAGCAAGGAACAGAUUCUUUUUGCAGAGCCUCCAGAGAAAACAUGGCCCUGCCCAAAAACUUUAUUCCAUCCCAGUGAAAUUGAUGUUGAAAUCCUGGCCUCCAAAACUGUAAGUAACUUAAUUUCUGUUGUUUUAAGCCCCCAAGUUUUUAGGAACUUGUUCAAACAGUCACAGGAAACAAACAUAGUUUGUAUUAGAGUUUCUUUUUCUCCUUUAUGCUUUAUGAUAAUUUUUAAAAGGAUAAAGAAAGAGAUAUUUAUUUCACCUUCUUAAAAUUGGAAUCAUUUAAAUCUUUGAUUUAGGAUAGUUUCAUUUCUCAUAAUUUCAUACCUUCCAUAAUGAGGAUGCUCACUUUCAGAAGUAUUGCAGCUUUCCCAGAUAUGGAAUUUUAACACUGUCUUCAUUUAUUUUUCUCCCCUUCUUACUAUAUAGUAUCUCUUCUUAAACAGAUCUUACUUACUUUGCUUUCUUCCCUUUCCCCUCUUUUUCUUUUCUUUCUUUUUCCAACAACCUAUUGAUUAUUUACUUAACGUUAGGCAUCGUGGUAAGCUUUGAGAAUAUAGAACCAAUAAAGCUGUUUCUACUGCCUUCCAAGAGCUUACUAAGGAGCUUCCAAGAGCUCCUUCUAUUGAUAUAGAAAAGGAAUAAAAAUAACAUUUGUUUGGCACAAAACAUAAAAACAAAAACAGAAAGAAAAAUCAACAACUGAAAUACCAUACUGUAGGUGUUAAAUUAAAUGCAUGAGCAAAAUGCUGUGGUCUCAUGGACCUGAAAUGAAUAGUUCUACUUGACAGAAACUGAAGGGAUCUAUGAAGUAGCACCUGAGCAGGGUCUUAGGGGAUGAAGUGAGAUUUUAUGAAGAACUAAACAGGGAAAAGGCAUCUGAUAGAAAGAAACCGCCUCUACAGAGGGCAUACAUAUGUUAAAGAGCAUGGAUUGCUUUGGCAUUUGCCAAUAGGCUUGGAGCAUAGAUUAAAGGUGGGGGAGGAUGGAGUCAUGAGACUGACUACAAAGGUUGGAGUCAAAUUAUGAUGAACACUUUUUUGCUUGUGUUCAGGAGUUUAGAUUUGUUUGAUUGACGUAUUCAUAUAAUUUCACUCAUUUGUGGAAUUUAAGAAACAAAACAAAUAAACAAAGAAAAAAAGAGACAAAAAUGAAAUGAACUCUGAAAUGAACUGUUGGUUGUCAUAUGGGUGGGGGGGGGGGGGAGAUGGGAGAAAUAGAUGAAGGAGACUAAGAAGUACAAAUCUCCAGUUGCAAAGUAAAUAAGUCAUGGAGGUGAAAAGUACAGCAGAGGGUAUAUAGUCAAUAAGACUGUCAUAACAUUGGUGGCAGAUGGGAACGGCAUUUUUCAUGGUGAGCACAGUGUAAUGUAUAGAAUUGUUGAAUUAUUACAUUGUACACUUGAAACUAACACUGUGUAUGAAAAUAUGUGAGAUACACACAC